AAGGAACUGGUCAUUUCAAAGAAAGUGCGGUGGAACUUCAACACAGAGUUAUGUGAGCAAGAUGAGGGCCAACCGCUUCAGCGCCAUAACAAGAGCCGCAGUAGGAUUCGUUGUGCUCAAGCCUUCCACCAUGCCUUUGUAAGGGCCUUUCAAUCUGAGACAUACAAGGAAGCAAUGGCCAUGCCCAGUUUAACACUUCCCAAGUAAAUAUGUUGCAAAUUGUGACCAUAUAACUCCGUUUCUAUGAACAGGCAGCGACCAGAAAAUAUGCAUGUAGUGGGCCACCCGGGUAAUGUAUGAGAUGCAGAAAUCAAGAAUCGGCUGUGUGAAAUGGAAUUCCAAAAGAAGCAAAUGAAGAAGGUGAAAAUUUCGAUGCUAAUGUUACAAUAAAGAUUAUUAUAAGAGCGUUUUUUUACUAAAUUCUGAUAAUGUACCU
rnacentral:lncRNA from 1 species